rnacentral:rRNA from 1 species
AUUGAACGCUGGCGGCAGGCCUAACACAUGCAAGUCGAGCGGAUGAAGGGAGCUUGCUCCUGGAUUCAGCGGCGGACGGGUGAGUAAUGCCUAGGAAUCUGCCUGGUAGUGGGGGAUAACGUCCGGAAACGGGCGCUAAUACCGCAUACGUCCUGAGGGAGAAAGUGGGGGAUCUUCGGACCUCACGCUAUCAGAUGAGCCUAGGUCGGAUUAGCUAGUUGGUGGGGUAAAGGCCUACCAAGGCGACGAUCCGUAACUGGUCUGAGAGGAUGAUCAGUCACACUGGAACUGAGACACGGUCCAGACUCCUACGGGAGGCAGCAGUGGGGAAUAUUGGACAAUGGGCGAGAGCCUGAUCCAGCCAUGCCGCGUGUGUGAAGAAGGUCUUCGGAUUGUAAAGCACGUUAAGUUGGGAGGAAGGGCAGUAAGUUAAUACCUUGCUGUUUUGACGUUACCAACAGAAUAAGCACCGGCUAACUUCGUG